CACAAGGGAAGGCGAGAAGAAAAAGAGGUAAGAACGGUAACCAAGCCGCGGAAGAAGCCAUGGCUGGACAAUCUCCCGCUGCUCGGAAACCUGAAAGAGGAAUAAUGCUUCAAAACCUUUUGGCAAUUAGUAGGUUCUUUCCAUGAGGGACUUCUAUGCACAUUCUAUAAUCACGACGACUACUUAACUUCUCUUCCAUGCAUGCGAUAUGCGCCGGCAUUCCGAUGUCAGGAUGGUCGAUGAAAGGGCAUCUGCCAAGCUUGUCUGGCCGAAAAAACCGUCACCUAGUCGGUCCAUUAGAUGAAAACUAUCGAGAGAAUGAGAAUGUACAUAUGUUCCUCCAGACCGUUGAGGGAGAUCACUUGCCCAAGCCCGUCAUAUUUCACAUUGUAAUUAGUUUCUUAGAAUUGUAUUUGAUUGACACUGUUGUUUCUGAUCUCUCUUCUUGAUAAGAGUAUGGUCGCAGAAGCUUCACAUC